CAGGACGAACGCUGGCGGCGUGCUUAACACAUGCAAGUCGAACGGGGCGAAGUGAUAGCUUGCAUUAUGGAGCCUAGUGGCAAACGGGUGAGUAACGCGUAGGCAACCUGCCCUUCAGAUGGGGACAACACCUCGAAAGGGGUGCUAAUACCGAAUGACGUUUCCUGGUCGCAUGACCUGGAAACCAAAGGCCGGGCAACCGGUCACUGAAGGAUGGGCCUGCGUCUGAUUAGCUAGUUGGUGGGGUAACGGCCCACCAUGGCGACGAUCAGUAUCCGGUCUGAGAGGAUGAACGGCCACAUUGGGACUGAGAUACGGCCCAGACUCCUACGGGAGGCAGCAGUGGGGAAUAUUGGUCAAUGGCCGGGAGGCUGAACCAGCCAAGUAGCGUGAAGGAAGACGGUUUUCGGAUUGUAAACUUCUUUUAAGAGGGACGAUAAUGACGGUACCUCUUGAAUAAGCCACGGCUAACUACGUG
rnacentral:rRNA from 1 species